rnacentral:tRNA from 1 species
GCGACUGUAGCUCAGGGGCAGAGCACCUGACUGUGGCUCAGGGGGUCGCGGGUUCGAGACCCGUCAGUCGCCCCA